rnacentral:lncRNA from 1 species
UCCAAUUUUGAAAGACACUGGAAAUAACAACAAAUUCAAACAGAAAAAUACAAAUAAUCAAAAGAUGAGAUGAAAAGCUCACCAGAGGCAGAAGUAAUGGACGACUGAAAGAGAGAAACACACGAUGUGACGAAGAAGAAAAAAAUUGGGGACGGCGAACCACAAACGGCUAUUGUUGAAUGUUGAUUCCAAUUUUCCAAUUUCC